UGUGAUAAAGGCAGACACGUCUAUAUUAUACUGUUAUCUAUACGCUUAAAUACGCUUAGAUAUGCGUGCGAGACAAUAGAGCAGUAGAAAUACACGAUGUUGUCCGAUUUCAACAUAUUGAACACAAUUCUCUUUCAAAUAUGCAUAAAACAUGCAGAAAUAUUAAUGUGAGUAACAGCGGAACUAAAAUUAUUGAUAUUAUCGAUAAUUUCGGUCGGUAUUAUCAAUAAUUUUAGUUACGCUUAGAUGAGGGCGCUAACCCGUUGGAGUUCGCCCCUCGCUCCGGCAUCAUCUUAAUUAUUAAAAAAUAUGAACUUCCAGCGCCAACUUAUUUCCGGUGAAUGAGAAGAAGCCAAUGGUGCGAGAAAUAAUAUUUAAAAAAAUGGGAAGCCUCAUUGAUUAAAAUUCCAAAAUUAUAUGUUUAAUUACAAAAUUAUGUUUCAUUCUUACUAUUACCAUAAUUAAAAAAUAGUAUAUUUUGUUUGCAGGAAGUUCAUCUGCUGCAUAAAUUCCACAAUGACUUUUAUGGCGAAGAGAUCAAAGUGAUAAUUACUGGAUAUAUACGAUCAGAAAAGGAUUUCUCUUCUCUAUGUAAAAUAUAGUAGUGAUAUAAAAUAUAGGAACUUAUCAAAGAGAUAAAGAAUGAUAUUGCGAUAGCAGAACAAAAAUUAGAAGAACCUGUUGUAAAUAAAUCAAAAAAUGAUAAUUUUUUAAUAACUAAUAAAACAAAUGAUUAAUGACCAUGAA